rnacentral:rRNA from 1 species
GAUGAACGCUGGCGGCGUGCCUAAUACAUGCAAGUCGAGCGAACGGACGAGAAGCUUGCUUCUCUGAUGUUAGCGGCGGGCGGGUGAGUAACACGUGGAUAACCUACCUAUAAGACUGGGAUAACUUCGGGAAACCGGAGCUAAUACCGGAUAAUAUUUUGAACCGCAUGGUUCAAAAGUGAAAGACGGUCUUGCUGUCACUUAUAGAUGGAUCCGCGCUGCAUUAGCUAGUUGGUAAGGUAACGGCUUACCAAGGCAACGAUGCAUAGCCGACCUGAGAGGGUGAUCGGCCACACUGGAACUGAGACACGGUCCAGACUCCUACGGGAGGCAGCAGUAGGGAAUCUUCCGCAAUGGGCGAAAGCCUGACGGAGCAACGCCGCGUGAGUGAUGAAGGUCUUCGGAUCGUAAAACUCUGUUAUUAGGGAAGAACAUAUGUGUAAGUAACUGUGCACAUCUUGACGGUACCUAAUCAGAAAACCACGGCUAACUACGUGCCAGCAGCCGCGGUAAUACGUAGGUGGCAAGCGUUAUCCGGAAUUAUUGGGCGUAAAGCGCGCGUAGGCGGUUUUUUAAGUCUGAUGUGAAAGCCCACGGCUCAACCGUGGAGGGUCAUUGGAAACUGGAAAACUUGAGUGCAGAAGAGGAAAGUGGAAUUCCAUGUGUAGCGGUGAAAUGCGCAGAGAUAUGGAGGAACACCAGUGGCGAAGGCGACUUUCUGGUCUGUAACUGACGCUGAUGUGCGAAAGCGUGGGGAUCAAACAGGAUUAGAUACCCUGGUAGUCCACGCCGUAAACGAUGAGUGCUAAGUGUUAGGGGGUUUCCGCCCCUUAGUGCUGCAGCUAACGCAUUAAGCACUCCGCCUGGGGAGUACGACCGCAAGGUUGAAACUCAAAGGAAUUGACGGGGACCCGCACAAGCGGUGGAGCAUGUGGUUUAAUUCGAAGCAACGCGAAGAACCUUACCAAAUCUUGACAUCCUUUGACAACUCUAGAGAUAGAGCCUUCCCCUUCGGGGGACAAAGUGACAGGUGGUGCAUGGUUGUCGUCAGCUCGUGUCGUGAGAUGUUGGGUUAAGUCCCGCAACGAGCGCAACCCUUAAGCUUAGUUGCCAUCAUUAAGUUGGGCACUCUAAGUUGACUGCCGGUGACAAACCGGAGGAAGGUGGGGAUGACGUCAAAUCAUCAUGCCCCUUAUGAUUUGGGCUACACACGUGCUACAAUGGACAAUACAAAGGGCAGCGAAACCGCGAGGUCAAGCAAAUCCCAUAAAGUUGUUCUCAGUUCGGAUUGUAGUCUGCAACUCGACUACAUGAAGCUGGAAUCGCUAGUAAUCGUAGAUCAGCAUGCUACGGUGAAUACGUUCCCGGGUCU